rnacentral:rRNA from 1 species
AAGUGGGUAGCUUAACCUUCGGGGGGGCGCUCACCACUUUGUGAUUCAUGACUGGGGUGAAGUCGUAACAAGGUAGCCGUAGGGGAACCUGCGGCUGGAUCACCUCCUUUAAAAA